rnacentral:piRNA from 1 species
UUGAGUACCCCCAUUGUUGUGAAAGACCU